rnacentral:rRNA from 1 species
GACUUUUCCUCCGCUUAUUGAUAGGCCUAUGCAUGCAUAUCAAUAAGCGGAGGAAAAGAAACCAACAGGGAUUGCCCUAGUAACGGCGAGUGAAGCGGCAACAGCUCAAAUUUGAAAUCUGGCUUUCGGGCCCGAGUUGUAAUUUGUAGAGGAUACUUUUGAUGCGGUGCCUUCCGAGUUCCCUGGAACGGGACGCCAUAGAGGGUGAGAGCCCCGUCUGGUUGGAUGCCAAAUCUCUGUAAAGUUCCUUCGACGAGUCGAGUAGUUUGGGAAUGCUGCUCUAAAUGGGAGGUAUAUGUCUUCUAAAGCUAAAUAUUGGCCAGAGACCGAUAGCGCACAAGUAGAGUGAUCGAAAGAUGAAAAGCACUUUGAAAAGAGAGUUAAAAAGUACGUGAAAUUGUUGAAAGGGAAGCGUUUAUGACCAGACUUGGACUUGGUUAAUCAUCUGGGGUUCUCCCCAGUGCACUUUUCCAGUUCAGGCCAGCAUCAGUUUUCGCCGGGGGAUAAAGGCUUCGGGAAUGUAGCUCUCUUCGGCCAUUUAUAGCCCGUUUGUAAUACCCUGGCGGAGACUGAGGUUCGCGCUCGCAACGAUGAUGACGUG